AGCGAACGCUGGCGGCAGGCUUAACACAUGCAAGUCGAACGCAUCGCAAGAUGAGUGGCAGACGGGUGAGGAACACGUGGGAACAUCCCUUUCAGUUCGGAAUAACUCAGGGAAACUUGAGCUAAUACCGGAUACGUCCGUGAGGAGAAAGAUUUAUCGCUGAAAGAUUGGCCCGAGUCUGAUUAGCUAGUUGGUGAGGUAAUGGCUCACCAAGGCUACGAUCAGUAGCUGAUCUGAGAGGAUGAUCAGCCACAUUGGGACUGAGACACGGCCCAAACUCCUACGGGAGGCAGCAGUGGGGAAUAUUGGACAAUGGGCGCAAGCCUGAUCCAGCCAUGCCGCGUGAGUGAUGAAGGCCUUCGGGUUGUAAAGCUCUUUUGUCCGGGAAGAUAAUGACUGUACCGGAAGAAUAAGCCCCGGCUAACUUCGUGCCAGCAGCCGCCGUAA
rnacentral:rRNA from 1 species